AACAGAGGUCUGCUGAAGUGAAAUACUGACUUAGGUCACAAAGUAAUGGCAGAGCUGGGAUUCAAACUCAGGUUGGGAAGGAAGCAUUAUAAAUGCUGACCAGUCUGGAUACCUAGGAAUUCCAGCAAACCGUAGAUGUCUUGC